UGCAGUUAAAAAGCUCGUAGUCGGAUUUCAGUAUUAGGCCCUUCUUCCAAUACGGUUGCUUGUGGUCUUUACUUCCUUAACAGAAUCUUUCAUCUCAUUAAUUUGGGGUGUUUGGGGCCUGUUUCUUUUACUUUGAGAAAAUUAGAGUGUUCAAAGCGGGUUUUCGCCUGGAUAUUACUCUUGGAAUAAUAAUAUAGGACUUUGGUUCUUUUUUGUUGGUGACUUAGAACCGAAGUAAUGAUUGAUAGGGACAGUUGGGGUCAUUCGUACUAUGAAGCGAGAGGUGAAAUUCUUGGACCUUUGUAUGACGAACUACUGCGAAAGCAUUUGACUAGGAUGUUCCCGUUGAUCAAGAACGAAAGUUGGGGGAUCGAAGACGAUCAGAUACCGUCGUAGUCUCAACCAUAAACUAUGCCAGCUAGGGAUUGGAGGAAGAUCAUUUUACGUCUCCUUCAGCACCUUAUGAGAAAUCAAAGCAUUUGGGUUCCGGGGGGAGUAUGGUCGCAAGGCUGAAACUUAAAGGAAUUGACGGGAGGGCACCACCAGGAGUGGAGCCUGCGGCUUAAUUUGAUUCAACACGGGAAAACUUACC
rnacentral:rRNA from 1 species